UUGGAAGAUGUCGUGCACGACGCCUAAGUUCGUUAUAUAUCACAAUCGCUUGUAUGACCAUUGUCCAAAAUAAACAUAAAUGUUGUCAUCGGCAUCGACGUUGAUUCGUUGUUGAAGCCAUGUUAUAAACUACCACCGUAAACAAAAAUCCAAUAAAAAUUUGUUUAUAAAGAAUAACAUAACAUCAUUACAGAAUAAAAAGUUAACUGUAGCUACAGGAAAAUAUGCACAAUGGACAACGGUUAAU
rnacentral:lncRNA from 1 species